AAAGUCGUAACAAGGUUCCCGUAGGUGAACCUGCGGAAGGAUCAUUAAGGUAUGGUUCUAGGGGAAGUGAGCAAUCACCAGCCUAGGAUCGACUUUGAUGGACACCCUUUGUUUACUUCUUACCUGUUUCUUCCCUGAUCUAGGGUGCUCCGCUCAGUGGUGAAAAGUGUUACACUGAGGGGGGUUGCCUUUCAGGAAUUCAUUACAACUUUCAACAGUGGAUCUCUAGGCUCUC
rnacentral:misc_RNA from 1 species